rnacentral:lncRNA from 1 species
UGAAACAUGCGAUUGAGAAAAACCUGAGGGAAAAGAGCAUUAACUAUAAAUCUAGUGUUCCUAACAUUCAAGAGUCAAUCAUUGUGAGAUUAACUAUUCAACUUUGAGAGGUUUAGCUAUUGUACUUGAGUUUUUGCUUGGCUUUUGCUGCUGCAAGAUUGGGGGAGUGAUCUUGUGGAAAAGGUUUGGCAAACAACUAUGAAAAUAACUAGGUUUGUUGAG